rnacentral:rRNA from 1 species
GAUGAACGCUAGCGGCAGGCUUAACACAUGCAAGUCGAGGGGCAGCGCGGGAUAGCAAUAUCCUGGCGGCGACCGGCGGACGGGUGCGUAACGCGUGAGCGACAUGCCCGUUGCCCGGGGACAACCGGUGGAAACGCCGACUAAUCCCCGAUGGGAUAUUGUGCCGCAUGGCACGAUAUUGAAAGUUACGGCGGCGACGGAUUGGCUCGCGUCCGAUUAGCUGGUUGGCGGGGUAACGGCCCACCAAGGCUGCGAUCGGUAGGGGUUCUGAGAGGAAGGCCCCCCACAAUGGGACUGAGACACGGCCCAUACUCCUACGGGAGGCAGCAGUGAGGUAGAGUGGUCAAUGGGCGGAAGCCUGAACCAGCCAUGCCGCGUGCGGGAAGGAGGCCCUAUGGGCUGUGAACCGCUUUUGCCUGGGGGCAAUAAGGGCGUCGCGCACGUCCGAUGAGAGUACCAGGCGAAUAAGCAGCGGCUAACUCCGUG